rnacentral:rRNA from 1 species
UACGUAGGCAGCAAGCGUUGUUCGGAAUUACUGGGCGUAAAGAGUGUGUAGGCGGUGUUCUAAGUGUGGUGUGAAAUCUCCCGGCUCAACUGGGAGGGUGCGCCGCAGACUGGAAUGCUAGAGUAUGGGAGAGGUAAGCGGAAUUCCUGGUGUAGCGGUGAAAUGCGUAGAUAUCAGGAGGAACACCUGUGGUGUAGACAGCUUACUGGACCAUGACUGACGCUGAGACACGAAGCGUGGUAGCAAACAGGA